GACGAACGCUGGCGGCGUGCUUAACACAUGCAAGUCGAACGGAAAGGCCCUGCUUUUGUGGGGUGCUCGAGUGGCGAACGGGUGAGUAACACGUGAGUAACCUGCCCUUGACUUUGGGAUAACUUCAGGAAACUGGGGCUAAUACCGGAUAGGAGCUCCUGCUGCAUGGUGGGGGUUGGAAAGUUUCGGCGGUUGGGGAUGGACUCGCGGCUUAUCAGCUUGUUGGUGGGGUAGUGGCUUACCAAGGCUUUGACGGGUAGCCGGCCUGAGAGGGUGACCGGCCACAUUGGGACUGAGAUACGGCCCAGACUCCUUCGGGAGGCAGCAGUGGGGAAUAUUGCACAAUGGACGGGAGCCUGACGCAGCAACGCCGCGUGCGGGAAGACGGACUUCGGGUUGUAAACCGCUUUCGCCUGUGACGAAGCGUGACUGACGGUAAUGGGUAAAGAAGCACCGGCUAACUACGUG
rnacentral:rRNA from 1 species